CCCUUAGAUGUUCUGGGCCGCACGCGCGCUACACUGAUGCAUUCAACAAGCCUAGCCUUGACCGAGAGGUCCGGGUAAUCUUUGAAACUGCAUCGUGAUGGGGCUAGAUUAUUGCAAUUAUUAAUCUUCAACGAGGAAUGCCUAGUAAGCGUGAUUCAUCAAAUCGCGUUGAUUACGUCCCUGCCCUUUGUACACACCGCCCGUCGCUCCUACCGAUUGAGUGGUCCGGUGGGGCUUUGGGAUCUGAGCGGAAAGAGCGUUUCGCUGUUUCUGCUCGGAAAACUCAGUCGAACCUUAUCAUUUAGAGGAAGGAGAAGUCGUAACA
rnacentral:rRNA from 1 species